GACGAACCGUGCGAACGUUGUUCGGAAUCACUGGGCUUAAAGGGCGCGUAGGCGGCUCAUCAAGUCGGGGGUGAAAUCUUUCGGCCUAACCGGAAAAGUGCCUUCGAUACUGGUGAGCUUGAGCGAGGUAGGGGCAGAUGGAACUUCCGGUGGAGCGGUGAAAUGUGUUGAUAUCGGAAGGAACGCCGGUGGCGAAAGCGAUCUGCUGGACCUUAACUGACACUGAGGGACGAAAGCUAGGGGAGCGAAUGGG
rnacentral:rRNA from 1 species